UGCAGUCGAGCGAACCUCUUGGCUUCGGCCAGGAAGGGAAGCGGCAGACGGCUGAGUAACGCGUGAGUAACCUGCCCUUUGGUGGGGUAUAGCCUCGGGAAACUGAGGGUAAUCCCGCAUAAGAUCCUUCUCCCCUGGGGGAAGGAUGAAAGCCUUCGGGCGCCAAAGGAGGGGCUCGCGUUCUAUCAGGUAGUUGGUGAGGUAACGGCUCACCAAGCCGAUGACGGGUAGCUGGUCUGAGAGGACGACCAGCCAGAGGGGGACUGAGACACGGCCCCCACUCCUACGGGAGGCAGCAGCAGGGAAUUUUGGGCAAUGGGCGAAAGCCUGACCCAGCGACGUCGCGUGAGGGAUGAAGGCUUUAGGGCUGUAAACCUCUUUUCCAAGGGAAGAGGAAGGACGGUACUUUGGGAAUAAGCUCCGGCUAACUACGUGCCAGCAGCCGCGGUAAUACGUAGGGAGCAAGCGUUACCCGGAAUUACUGGGCGUAAAGGGCGCGUAGGCGGCUUGGUAAGUCUCUUGUGAAAGCUCCCGGCUUAACUGGGAGAGGUCAAGGGAUACUACCAGGCUUGAGGGCAGUAGAGGAAGGCGGAAUUCCCGGUGUAGCGGUGAAAUGCGUA
rnacentral:rRNA from 1 species